GGUACUAUGAAACACUAUAUCUAUUUCCAUUGUUUAUUAGUUGGAACAAAGCAUAUCAUAGUCUUCUUACCUACUUCCAAUGAAUUAAUAAGGUUCAUAGCAUCAUAUGUAUUAUUUUAUUUUCAUCUAUGCUUUUGUACUGUAGUGCACUGUACGCUUUGCUACCCAGAAAGCUUGUUAUUUGGUCUUCUUCAAAAAGAAAAUUGAAGAUUAUGCUUUUCUUGCAGCGCCUAAUCGUUAUAGUUGCUCUAUCAAAUGUAGGCUGAAAUAGAAAAGGUUAAGAAAAGAAGAGAAGAAAGAGCUAUUGAAAAGACACAGCAUGAAGAGGAAAUGACAUUGCUAGCUAGAGAAAGAGCAUGUGCCGAGUUUCAAGACUGGGAGAAGAAAGAGGAAGAGUUUCAUUUUGACCAAAGCAAGGUCAGGUCUGAGAUCAGGUUGCGGGAGGGGCGUACAAAGCCUAUUGAUGUUCUCCAAAAGAAUCUUAAUUUCUUAGAUGAAUUUGACAUUGAGUUAAAUGAACCCUAUCUGGUGUUCAAGGUGAGCAUCAUUUGCUCAUCCUUAUCUAAGUGUAAGUCGACUGAAAAAAGCUUUGUCCCUGCAGCACCCUACCUGUGUAAUUUUCUGUAUGUUUUUUGAAGCCAGCUGUUGUAUAUUCUGACACCAUCGCACAGUACAUCAAAUGCAUUUUAUAACUUAGCAGUUCCUGAAAUAUGUGUUUUUUGCAAUAAACUGGAGGAUGAGAUGCACGAGGAUGAAGAUGAUAAACGAUAUUCAUCUGAGCCUAUACCUCAACAGACAGAUAACCAAUUUGAAGAGGAAGAUGGAUCCUUUUCUCCACAGCUAAUGCAUGGCAACGAAGAUGAAGAUGCAAUUGAUCCUGAAGAAGACAAAGAUGAGCUGGUAGAGUUCUAUGUUAGGGCAAAAAGUUCUACUGAGAUUUUCUUUCAUUUAGACAAACUUUCAAGCUUGUGCAGGCCUCCCUGUGUGUCUUACCCUAAGAGAGGACAUUGAUUCAUUUAGAUCUUACUUUUGAUGGCAAUGCUCCUUAUGGUGGCUUAAA